UCCUGAUCCAGUCACAAUGAACUGCUUGCUGUGCCUAAGAUGAUAUGACAGAUUCUGCCUUUGUAACAGUGCCCGUGUUCAGCCGUCUGCCCAGAAACCCAGAAACUUCUUCCUAGCUAAAUUCUUUUUCUUCAGGAAUGAAUUCAAAUGCCACCUUUUCUAGAAGUCCUUCAUGAUCCACUCAGUUGAGUGAAUAGCUCUUCUUAUAAAACUGAGUAUAUAUCUAUCAAAGCACUCACCAUCAUUUAUAGUAUUAAUAGCUAACAUUUAUUGAGUACUUGCUAUGAUCCAGAACUGUUCGAUGUAUUUUACAGUCAUUAAAAUUCACUUAAUCUGUAUUUCAUGGAAGAUAAGACACAAUUGAUUACAAGAAGC
rnacentral:lncRNA from 10 species